UCUCGAUAACGUAAAAGUUAACUCAAAUCUGUAUAUUCUUGGAACGUUUGCCUACGUUUGCCGCUAGAGGCGCUGUUCAAACUGCACACAAAUUUGAGUUAACUUUUACGCUACCGA
rnacentral:pre_miRNA from 9 species